rnacentral:rRNA from 1 species
CCUACGGGCUGCAGCAGUGGGGAAUAUUGGACAAUGGGCGAAAGCCUGAUCCAGCCAUGCCGCGUGAGUGAAGAAGGCCUUAGGGUUGUAAAGCUCUUUCACCGGUGAAGAUAAUGACGGUAACCGGAGAAGAAGCCCCGGCUAACUUCGUGCCAGCAGCCGCGGUAAUACGAAGGGGGCUAGCGUUGUUCGGAAUUACUGGGCGUAAAGCGCGCGUAGGCGGAUGGAUAAGUCAGAGGUGAAAUCCCGGGGCUCAACCCCGGAAUUGCCUUUGAUACUGUUUAUCUUGAGUGCAGAAGAGGUAAGUGGAAUUCCGAGUGUAGAGGUGAAAUUCGUAGAUAUUCGGAGGAACACCAGUGGCGAAGGCGGCCUGCUGGACAUUAACUGACGCUGAGGAGCGAAAGCGUGGGGAGCAAACAGGAUUAGAUACCCUGGUAGUC